GAGAGGAAGAGAGGAAUAGCAGUAUUAAAAGGAGAAUUAGUACCUAUAGAAAGUUUAGGGCAGAGGAAGAGGUGGGAAGGGCUAGUAUGCGCGCAUGGACUGGGAAAUGUGGGAUGGGUACUUUUUAUACUGAAGGAGCCUGAAGGCCAGCAUGAGCAUUGGUGUGUUGACAGAUACCACAGGUAGCCAUUUGUCCCUCUGCCUUUGAUAGAUGGCAAUGAGUUUCACAAUUCCUGAGGAAUGCUGGCUAUUAUCUAACCACCAGAAACCCUCCUGUAGUCCAGGCUGAGCUCAUACCUGGAUGUUUGGACUGCCUCUUGGAGUGAGGGGAAUUGGAGUUUCCUUUGGCUCUGAGAGUGAACUUUAUUUUAAACAUGAAUACAGUCAAGUCUUAUCUAUUUUGUUUUUGAUACUGCAGUUUUGGACUCACAGACAGGAAAACUGCCACAUACAAUGUCAUGAUAAUUUACACCUAUGUUUUAAUGUGUGAGUUUUAUAAUGUUAGCUCUUUUUAUGACUUAAAAAAAGCUUUAUUUAUUUUAUAAGUAUACUGUAGCUGUCUUCAGACACACCAGAAGAGGGCAUCAGAACCCCAUUACAGAUGAUUCUGAGCCACCAUGUGGUUGCUGGGAAUUGAACUCAGGAUCUCUGGAAGAGCAGUCAUUGCUCUCAACCACUGAGGCAUCUCUCCAGCCCAUAACUUUAGCUCUUAACUUUGGCUCAGUUACUUAUUCUAAGUUAGUUAUGUGUUUAAAGUGUGAGGUAUAGGUUACAUGGUAAGCAAUUUGACUUCAUCCAAAAAGAUAGCUAGCUUCUUCUCUCACCUUGGUAGUCUAUGCCACACAUGAUGGGAGUCUCGUAUUUCAGUAGAAACUGACCACAUUUAAAAGGCUAAUCAUGUGAUUCCAAGUGGAGUCUGACCAUUCCAGAAAACCAACUAUGUAAACCAGGCUGGGGACGAUGAGCCACAUGGUUCAGUUGAUCUAGAGACCAGCUUCCAUCAUGUUACCAAUUAGUCAGUCUUGUGCAUGUAAUAAAAACCCAGUUCAGACUCUGAAAACGGAAGCUUAUGUGUACUCUCUUGCCUGUGUGUGCUCUGUGAUUGUCACUUGUUAGUGCCCGGAGUUGUUCAUGUGCACUUACAGGAAGAAGAAAAACUUGUUUGGAACCUCCUCAGGAAGACUGUCCUGUGUUUUGCUACUUUGGCUGGUUUGGAUCUGCACACUUUCUCCAUGAUAAAUAGUGUGAUUCAGUGAUUAUAGUGAAGUGUAAGUAUAGCAAAUUAUGAAAGCGGGAUGUGGAUUGAGGGAAGACUCUGAACUUGUAGGAGGUAUCAGUAGUUAGGCUUCUCAUGUGUCUUGUUCUUUCUAAUCUUGUAGUUGGCUUUGAAAGACGACAGGUAGUGGCAGAAGCAGGGUUUGUGAGCCCAAACCUGACUUGUUAGAGCAUGCUAGAGGGAAAAAGAAACACGACCAGGCUGGUUUGGGAAACUUUGAUUUCUGGGUGGAUGCAGAGUUACUUGUGAUGUGGAGGUGCAGUUUUCUGUGUCAGUUACUAGGAGACCUUUCCAGGGCAAUUGUAAAGUGAUACACCAUAGUCCUAAGGAGCUGUCUCACUGCUUGCGUAGGAAAUGAAGAGGAACAAGAAAGAAAUGGGAUGUAUAGUCUCUUAGUCAUUUUUAUCUGUCAUAGCUGGUGGAUGGAAAGGAAAAUGCUGGGGUCAAUUCUGAUGCUGACUAAGACUUAGCCUCUAGCUACUUUUAUGUAAACUUUAAUUUAAAAUGUAAUUUAUCACCUCCUCCCUCCCCUCUCCUUCUUCUAACUCCUCACAUGCCCACUUGGUCCAUCUCAAAUUCACAUCCUCUUUUUCUUUAAUCAAGAUUGUCAUAUGUGUGUAUGUAUGUAUGUAUGUAUGUAUGUAUGUAUGUAUGUAUGUAUGUAUAGAUAGAUAGACAUAUCUAUAUCUAUAUAUAUAUCAUAUGUUAUAUCAUUGAUCAUUCAUAUAUAUGCAAUAUGAUACAUAAAACACAUAAAUAUAUAAAUACAAGUAGCAGAAUUGUUUUCUGUUAUUUGUAUGAAUGUUUUCAGGGAUAGCCACAUGGUAUUGGAUAACCAAUUAGGGUUCUUGUCAUGAGGAGGACUAUUUUCUUCCACUCUCAGCUUUCCUUAGUUACAUGUAGUUCUUUGUCUAAGGAUGAUACCUUGUAAGGUUUCCCAUGUCCACAUUAGCAUGUCUAUUGGUCUAUUAGCUUGUGGAGCACCCUAACAAAGGAUGCAGUUGAAAUUAAACUAAGAGAAUUGAUCUCUUCAUAAGUCUUCAUAUUGGGCCAAUCUUAGGCCCAUUCUGGUCUAAGAACUUCACGGCCUGUUCUAAAGGAAAAUGCACUGUUGAACCCAUUGUGAAGAAGCUCAGGAUGUUUUACAAGACAGUGGAUAAGCAAAGAGGAAAAUAAAUGGUAAAAAUCAUCCAGACAGGGUCAAAGGACAUUAUUAAUAAAUGGGAUGCAUAAAGAAACAUGACUGGAGCCAAAAUCAAAGCCACAGUGCUACAGCUCAGAAGGCAGCUAGACAGAGGCCACCUUCCAGGUCUCCAUACAGAAAGGCUCUAAGCAAAUUAAGUUAGUUGUUGGUGUUAGGGAGAGAGUCAAAGGACCAUCAGAUGCAGGUGUACAUGAGCCUUCUAACUGGGGCAAACCUCACUCUGUGAUGAGCAGGGUAAGUAGUAAGGCUGGAGAAUCACGUUACUAGACCAAGUAGCAUACUAGGAGUGUACGUAUUCAAAAAACUAAAUCCAUUUAAACUACCUAAAUGAAACAAUUAGGUUUCAUUCAGAUAUAAGCAAGAAUAACAGGAGAUCAUGGUAAACGCUAAGCUAACCCUAGCUCUUUCUAUUGAUUGCAUAAUGGAGAUACUAGUUGUUUCCUGUGGCUUUAUCUGUAGUGUAACCAUGGAUACAAAGGUAGAACAGCCUGAGCCAAGAGUGGAGCUAAGUCACAGUUUGGGAGGGAGUGAUAAUUGUUGACUUCAUGCUUUUCUGUUGUUGUUGUUUUGUUUUGUUUUUUCUUGAGUAUCUUGGGAUAUAUUUCCUAGUAGGAUGCAAUCACCACUGUAGAGAACACCCACUGUCCAUCUUGCAGUUUAUAGGAUUGUGAAAGAGCAGUGUCUCUCUACUGGGGUAAUCAUUUUCCUCCAGAUAGAUCGAUCAAGAUCUAGAGCUAUUUUGUCACAGCUAACGUGAGAGUUGGGCAGUAAUAGCUCAGUAAGUAAACACCAGGACACCUUUAAAGACCCUACAGUCCAUGGGCUGUCUCCUUCCCCUCUGUCAAGUACUUUUCCAGCUUACAUUUUCAAGAGUGAAAAGUUUAACACCCUCCCCCACUGCCCUAUGUUAUCUGUGUAGCAUUCUGCAAGGGCUGUUAAUCAACAUCAUUUUCUCUGAGUUAAAGUCAGCCUCAGUGCGAGAUAGGAGGAAUGAGGAUCUUAAGACAGGUCUGGUAGUGUAAGAACAGGUAGGCCUAUGAGAAGCCAUGUACAGAAAUUGGAACAGAAGUUUUAGUUGACCCAAAGAUUACAGAACAAGGAGUAGGUGUCAACAGAGCAACUAGGGCACAUCAGUGCUGUGGUGGUCCCCAAGCAGCCCUGAAGGAGAAUCUGUCCAGACGUCCAUCAGCCAAGGGAGUGAAAAUGUACUAUACGGUGGGGCCAUUCCAUGGAUUAUGACUCAAUGUAAGAUAAUCCAUGCAAGCAUUUACUUACUUACUCAAAAUAUCUGUGACACAAUCACAUUAUGGGGAGAAAAACUGUUCAUUUGUAUCCUGGGUAUGGAGAUUUCCUAUGAUUCUGUUCCAAUAGCCUUGGGCACGAAGUCAGUCAAGUUAAGGUAAAGAGAGCUGCUAUUAGAAGAAGCUGCACACUGUGGGGCAAGUCUGAAACAGUGAACAAGAACAAGAGUCUAAUCCACCACCAACAUACGAUCCUUUGCUGGGAAACAAGCCUGCUCUACACAGCCUUGGGAACGAGCUAAGCCAGAUUGGGGAAUAAGGCAAGAACCAUGAUUCUAUGUUGGUUUAUGGGAGGACAGCACAACACUGACUGAGUUGUUUAUAGGCUAUAGGCUAUGCCUGCUAUGUACAUAUCCCACUCAACAUUUGUUUUUAUGCCUUCAGAGAAUCCUGGGGGGUCUUUAUAUUAAGGAUUACCUCAGAAAGUAAACACUUGACUGCAAUGUACUAUGCUUAUAUUGUGUGAACACACAUGUGUUGUGUGUUUGGGAGUGUGUAUUAGUGCUUCUGUGUGUCUGUGUGUGUUUGUAUGUGCACACAGGCACACAUGCCUCCAUUGACAGUACACUCAUCUAAUGACCAGAAUAAGGAAGGAUUAGAGGAAACAAUGCAGACACUCUGAAGCAGAGAGAACUGAUCACCCAGGAAAGUGACUUGGGAGAAACAGUGUAGAAGAAUUGUGACAUCUUUGAGAUCAGGUAGGAACAUAGGCUGGCAGAAGCCAGUUGGAUUUCCUGUCCUAUAUAACUAUCCUUUGUGGGUGACUGACCACCUACGUGGUUUCAGCCUCAGUCAGCUAAAGAACUACUCGGAGUAUUAUUCUGGUACAGUUUAUAUGAAUUUUGUCCAUGAUGCCCGACAUCAUUUUAAGAAAGCAUUUUAUCUGCUAGAAAGAAUGUUCAGAGGUUAAGAGCACUGUCUGCUCUUCCAGAGGUCCUCAGUUCAAUUCCCAGCAACCACAUGGUGGCUCACAACCAUCUGUAAUGGGAUCCAAUGUUCUCUCCUGGUAUGUCUGAAGACAUCGAUGGAGUACUUAUAUACAUAAAAUAAAUUUUAAAAAAAAGAUGAUGUCAAUUUGUCUUUUAAUUCCAGUGCUGGGGAGGCAGAGGCAGGCAAAUGAACAAAACCACAUAAAACUCCAUAUACUUAUUUUUAUAUAGAGUUGUCCCCCAAUUUCCCCUUGAUUCUUUUGGAGACAGAGUCUCUCUGUGUAGCCCUGGCUGUUCAGGAACUCAUUUGGAACAAGCUGGCCUCCCUUCAGUGCUGGGGCUAAAAGCAUACACCACCAUGCUCAAAUCUCUUUUUGUAGUUCAAAUUUGUUUGAGACAGGGUAUUUCUAUGUAGCCUUGCGAUUCGUAAACUCACUUUGUAGAUGAGGUUGGCCUCAAACUCAACAGAGAUCUGCCUGCUUCUGCCUCCCAAGUGCUGUACCACCACCACCUGGGAUACAUUCUCUUUGUCUUUAUAGACACACUUGGGAAUGGAUUUUUCUCAGCCUUCAGAAUAGGAAAAAAUUCCUCUAAAAGCUAUUUAGUUUCUGGUACUUUUGUUACAUCAGUUCAAAAAGACUUAUACUAUACUACAAAUAUUAUAAAUGAAAACAGCUUUCACUUAUGAUGUUCUAUUGUAUUGUCCCCUGGAGCUGGAAUUACAGGCAGUUGUGAGUUAUCAUGGCUACUUGGAACCAAACUUCAGUCUCCUGAGAGAGCAGCAAAUGCUCUUAACCGGGGAGCCACCUCUUCAGCUCCAUUAAGCAUAUUUUCAAAGAAAAUCUGGAACUCUGUAGAUCUGGCUGGCAUGCCUUGAACUCAGAGAUCCUGCCUCCCAAGUGCUGGGGUUGAAGAUGUGUACCACCACUGCCUGGCUUAAAGAUACACGGCAAGUUUUGAUAGCAAGCUUGUCCUGUUAGAAUAAGUGCUGCAACAAAUUAAAAAUUAAUGUAAGGGAAGCUAUGGGGACAGUGAGAUGGUUCAGCAUGUGAGUGUAAUGGCCUCCUAUUCUGACAGCCUGGAGUUGGUUCGCCAAACUGCCUUCUAAUUCUGAAGUGUACUGACAGUUAUUCUCCUAUGUGCACACACACUGUGUGUGUGUGUGUGUGUGUGUGUGUGUGUGUGUGUGUAAGUGUGUGUAAAAGAAAUUUUCUUUAGACUAAAGGAGAAUGCCUUAUUUCCAUAGUUGGAAGGAAAGAUCUAUGGGGUAGAGAAUUUGAUCAAACACAAAAGAAUAAUAUUUUGACACAUGAACAUUAUAUGAAAUUUAAAUUUCAGUGUCCAUAAAAAUUUUGCUAGAGCUUUGCAUUUAUUAAUUCUCCAAUGGCAAAGUUGAGUGGUUUCCACAGGAGACAUAUGGUGGUCUCUUCAUGCUGCCAUAUGGUAUAUUACAAAUCCCAGUAAUGGAGUCAGCUGUGCUGGCUCACAGCUGUCACUCAACACCCCAGAGGCAGAGGCAGAGGCAGAGGCAGAGGCAGAGGCAGAGGCAGAGGCAGAGGCAGAGGCAGAGGCAGAGGCAGAGGCAGAGGCAGAGGCAGAGGCAGAGGCAGAGGCAGAGGCAGAGGCAGGAGGGUGACCACAUUUGAAGACAACUUGGUCUAUGUAAUGAGUUCUAGUCCGACCAUGGCUUUGCAAUGAGAACCCUGUCCAAGAAAAAAAAGGAAAAAUGAUAUUGAUGUAGUUGUGUUGCUGGUAUUGACUGGCAUGUAUAUUUGCUGUAUUUGGCAUUUAAACUUUUAUUUUAAUCAUUUCUUAACCCAUUGGUGGCUCAUGCUCAUAAUCUUAACACUCAGGAAGUUGGAGCAGAAGAAUUGCCACAGGGUGAGGCUAGACCAGCUAGAGUCAGAUCCUCUCUCAAACCAAAAAGAGAGAAAAAUGAAAAGACAAAAGUUGAUUUCAAAUGGCAGACUCCAGGCACAAUGGAGGAUGUUGUCAUCAAAUUAAGUGGCAAAGCAUUGUUUCUGUUACACCAUCACAGUGUAACUAUGUGAGAGGAAUAGACAUUAUCAGAUUACAUUCCUCAUAAAAGUCUCGACUUACAGGGAAGUAGUUUUUAAAAAUAACCUAGAAAAUUGAGAUCAAAUUUUCAUAAAAAAUUUCUUUAUGAAAUUAAAAGUGAGGGGGGCUUGAGAGAUGGCUCAAAGGCUAAGAGCACUGUCUGCUCUUCUAGAGGUCCUGAGUUCAAUUCCCAGCAACCACAUGGUGGCUCACAACCAUGUAUACUGGUACCCAGUUCUGGCUUGCAGGCAUGCAUGCAGGCAGAAUGCUGUAUACAUAAUAAAUAUGUUUUUAAAAAAUUAAAAAUGAAAAUGAAGGGCUGGAGAGAUAGUUCAGCAGUUAAGAGCACUGGCUGUUCUUCCUGACAAUCCGAGUUCAGUCCCCAGCAACCUAUGUCUAACUCCAGUUCCAGGGGAUCUGGAACCCUCACACAGACACACAUGCAGGCAAAACACCAAUACCAUAAAAAAAAAUAACUGAAACUGCAACUAGAUGGACAGCCAUUUACCAGUAGUGAAGUGUGAUUAGUGCUGAAUCCGACACUGGGAAGGUAAGCAUGUUUAGGACAAUUAGCUUUCGAUGAGAACAGCCACUGAGCAAGCUGAGGAUGGCAACAGCAGCAUCAGUCAAUUAAGAAACACAAGUGACUGUUCUCUCUGGCUGUAGAUGGGCGGGCAUUUGUUAUAUGCUAAAUCAUACUGCUCGCUUGCUGUCUAUUUGACUAGUUGACAGAGUUUGAAGCUGCUGACGAUUAUUUAGUUUGUGUAGGGGCUACGGAUGUAGCUCAGUUGGUUAGAGCGUUUGUCUGCCAUGCACAAAGCCCUGCCUUUGAUCCCUAGCACUGAAUGAAAUGACCAGACAUGGGGACAUGCAUGCUAUAAUCCCCAUACUCCUAGGUAGAGGCAAGGAGGAUCAGAAGUUCAAGGCCAGCCUGAACUGCAUGAGGCCAGAUCUCAAAACUGAAACCAAAAUAAAAAGAACUAAUUUGUGUGAAUGCUUGUUUUGGAAGAACUCUGGUCAAGAAUUCAGGAGAGAGAGAGAGAGAGAGAGAGAGAGAGAGAGAGAGAGAGAGAGAGAGAGAGAGAGAAUUCAGUAGAACACCCAAGUGGAAUCUACUAAGACCCAUUCAUUAUACCUGAUGAUGGUAAAAAUGCAUAUGGAACUGAAAAGGCAAAUUAACAAAAUGGUGAGCCCAGGAAAUGUAGUAAAUGUUCAAGCUUAUGAAUAUUUAUUGUAUUAUUCACUAGCAGAUACUUUAAGAGUUGGACUGAUUUUGUAUAACAAGCCAGUAGUCAUCAGGGGGAUUUCAUUCACUUUUGCAUAUUCCCAGAGAAUGUCCCGAGGUCCCUGCACGUGGCAGUUGAGUGGGACGACAGUAGCUGAUGCCAUAGUUCAGGCUAGUAACUCAGUGCAUAGUCCAGAUAGAUUCAUGUGACUCUUGACUUAAGUGCCCACUUGCCUGAUUACAGGUAUGAGCUACUGUACCUAGUUAUUGUGAUUUUUAUUCUUAAAGCUCAGUGCCGAAACAGUUUUCCCAAGGCGAAUUAUAAGACCUACAUGGCAUUGGAAAUUAACUUUUGCUGAGACUUUUUUAAAAAGUAUUUUGUGUGAGAGCCUCAGCUGUGCAUGCUUAACAGGUGGUUGUAAACUUGCACUGGGGUAUGUGUCACAGUUUGUAUAUGCUCCUCCCAGGGAGUAGAACUGUUAGAGGGUGUGGCCCUGUUGGAGUAGGGGUGUCACUGUGGGAGUGGGCUUUAAGAUACUAUCUGCCUGGAAGCAGUAUUUUGCUAGCAGCCCAGAUAAAGAUGUAGAACCCUCAGCUCCUCCUGCACCAUGCCUGCCUGGGUGCUGCCAUGCUCCCGCCUUGGUGAUAAUGGACUAAACCUAAAUGUUGUUCUUUAUAAGGCUUGCCUUGGUCAUGGUGUCCGUUUACAGCAGAAAAACCCUAACCAAGACGGUAGGCAUUUGGAGGGAGAGGACACAUUUCUAUGGUUCCUGCCUUCUGACCUCUGCCUUGUCAGGGUUUCCUGUUUUUGCUGCUGUUGUUUAUAUAGCUAGCCAUAGCACCUGUGGCAGCCUUAGGACAAUUGUGGGUAUUGUUCCAGUUGCUGUCCACUUGUUUUAUUUAUUUUUAUUAGAUAUAAGAGGGAAAGAAUGGGUUGGUUCUCAGAAGCCAACACAGAAUUAUCUUUCAAGAAAUAAGGUCUGGGGUUGGGGAUUUAGCUCAGUGGUAGAGCGCAUGCCUAGCAACCGCAAGGCCCUGGGUUCAGUCCCCAGCUCCAAAAAAAAAAAGAAAAAGAAAAAGAAAAAGAAAUAAGGUCUGUUAGGAGAAAGGGCCUCAAGGGGAAAGCAUUAGAAAGAAGAGGCAUAUGGGCCUGGCAUUACAAGCCUUUAACCCUAGAAGAAGCAGGUGGUUCUCUGUGAGGUCAAGGCCAGCCUGGUCUAUAUGAUGAGUUCCAGGACAGCCAGAGCUACAUGAUAAACCAUGUCAGAAAGAUGAGGUAUAAAAGGUAUAAUGUUAAUGUUAUAAUUGACAUAAUUCCAAAAAGGGAAGGAGAAACGUUUUUUAAAGAUUUAUUUAUUUUAUGUACAUGAGUACACCAUAGCUGUCUUCAGACACACCAGAAGAGCACAUCAGAUCCCAUUACAGAUGGUUGUGAGCCACCAUGUGGUUGCUGGAAAUUGAACUCAGUACCUCUAGAAGAACAGUCUGUGCUCAUAACCACUGAGCCAUCUCUCCAGCCCAAGACUCUUUUCUUUAAAACUUGUGUCUAAUGACAUACCUCGUCCUGCCCCCUUCAAAACAUGGUUCUCUGUCUAUCCCUGGAUGUCCUGGAAUUCACUUUGUACAUGAGGCUGGCCUAAAAAAUCACAAGGAUCCACCUUCUUCUCCUUCUAGUUACUGAUGAACCUUUAAUGCUAGCACUUGAGAGGCAGAGGCAGGCAGAUCUCUUGAGUUUGAGGCCAGCCUGGUGUACUGAGUGAAUUCCAGGACAGUCAAGACUAUAGAGAGAAACUCUGUCUUGAAAGACCCCAAAAAAAAAAACUAAGUAAACAAAACCUCCAUGUAAGAAAAUUGUCUUAUUUAAUAUAGAACAACAAAGAUACAACUCUUGUUCGUUGUGAGACUAGCAUUUCCCUGCCCUGCGAUGGAAUGGGCAGAACAUUUGUUAUCUGAGUUGCAUUUUAUAUAGAGAGGAGAGAAAACUUUAUAUAAAUAAUAUAAAGACAGUUACUUAAAUAUGAUCCUAUAUGAGUUCCUAAAGCUUUGUAUUUAUUUUCUUUAUAAUAAGGUUUUGAUGAUAAGCCAGGCUUAUUUUAUGAAUUAAAUGAGUUAACAUAUGUAAUAUAUUAUAGAAGUGUCCAGCACAUAGGAAAUGCCCAGUGGAUGUCAGUUUCUUAUUUUGAUUAAUACAUGCAUUAUUGUGUGUGGUGUAGGUCUGCAUGUGUCUCUGGGUAUGCUGUCAUGUGCAUGAUUGUGUAGAGGCCAGAGGCUGGAGUUGGGUGUUUUCCAUUGCUCUCUACGUUGCUUUGGAGACAGGGUCUUUCCCUGAAACUUGAGUUGGCCAUGUUAUUCAGCCUGGCUGGUUAGCUGGAAGGACCCCAGAAUCAUCCUGGAUCUGGCUUAUCUACCAGCAGUACAGAGCUUCAGCUUGUGUGGCUGCUGGGGACCCUAAUGCAGGUCCUCAUGCUUGCACAGCAGGCACUGUACCCACUGAGCCGUCUUCCCAUCCUAUAACUUGGACAGCAAUCUGGUGAGAUUUCACUACCAUAGUUCUAUAAAGGGGGGUAAGAAGUAGAACUAAGGUUUGAAGGGAGUUUCAGAGACUUUCCCAGGGUUACACAGAGUAGCUUACAUUCCUGGUUCUGUAGCUUAUUAAGCUUGUGUGCCUUAAGUACAUUUUGCCCUACUCAAAGCACAUACCCAGAUGUUCAGCUGUGUUUGUCUGUUAGGUGAUUGUGUGGAAAGAGGUCCAUAGAGAUCCUCGGUUUGGGAGAAAGAAUAUAGCCUCCAGGAAGUACUUCCUAUUCAUGAUGGACAGAAGCUGAAUACACUUUACAACAUUGGGGGGCAGGUGGACAGUGCCAGGUUUUAGGUUGAAGGCCUUGUGUAUGGUAGCCAAGUGCACUUCCCACUGACCUAGCUACUCUUUGCUCAGUAUAUUUCCAGAAGAAAAGUCAGAGGUGGAAUGCAGUCUAGUACCUGUGAUUGAGGAAUGAGGUCACAAACUAGUAAAUAGGCUGCUCAGCAUCGCACCAAAGUUGAGGGUCUGGACUAUUAAAAUGAAGUGAGAAUCAUCAGAACUGUCUGUCAGAAUUAGGAGCAUGCCAGUGUAGAUGUGGCUUAAAGUGUCAGUAGGGCAAAGAGAAGUGCUACAAAGUGUCAUUGGCUGCUCCAGUUUCCCUCCUAUGUAACCAUUUAUCUGGAGAUGAAGCCAGCCACCUUGAUAACCCCUGAGCUCCUGGACUCCAGCUCAGAUACCCUUUGCAAUACUAAGUGUCACUAUGUCCUGGUGGCUGGUAGCUGAUGGCUUAACUGACCUGCUUGUCUGGAUUCCUUAAUUCUGGUUUUAUUUUAACCUCUUAAACCCUGUCAGUCCAGAUUGCUCAUUGCCUUCCCAUAAGCGCACCAGCUGACCAGGAGCAACAUCUUCAGUUCCUUCAGAAUGCAGAGUCUUUGACCUCCUCAUAAAGCCACACCUCAAGGGGACGCUGGCCCUACCUUCAGUCAAGGCACGUAUUAAAUUUCCUAUUGACUACCCAUAUUCACCACCUACCUUCAGAUUCUUGACCAAAAUGUGGCACCCCAACAUCUAUGAUAAUGGAGAUGUAUGCAUUUCAAUCCUUCAUCCGCCUGUAGAUGACCCACAGAGUGGAGAGCUGCCCUCUGAAAGGUGGAAUCCUCCUCAGAAUGUGAGCCAAUGUGGAUGCUUCAGUCAUGUUCAGGAAAUGGAGGGACAGCAAAGGAAAGGACAAGGAGUACGCUGAGAUCAUUAGGAAACAGGUCUCAGCCAUGAAAGCUGAAGCAGAAAAGGAUGGAG